rnacentral:rRNA from 1 species
GACGAACCGUGCGAACGUUAUUCGGAAUUACUGGGCUUAAAGCGCGUGUAGGCGGGCCGGCACGUCCGACGCUGAAAGCCCCCGGCUCAACCGGGGAAGUGGCGCGGAUACGACCGGCCUCGAGGGGGGUAGAGGGACCUGGAAUUUCCGGUGGAGCGGUGAAAUGCGUAGAGAUCGGAAAGAACACCAACGGCGAAAGCACUCUGCUGGGCCGACACUGACACUGAGAGACGAAAGCUAGGGGAGCGAAUGGG